rnacentral:rRNA from 1 species
AUGCCCCGAGCUUCCAACCCAAGCAAACCCCACGCCACCCCCACCACCCGACGGCUCGCGACGCGGAGCUCCGCCCCAGCCGAGGUCCCCGCCGCCGUGCUCCCGCACCGGGUCCCGGGCCUCCCCCACUGUCUCACUCCAUUGCGACGGCGGCACCCGCCGCCGCCGCGUCCCAUGGCCACCAUGCUUUCCCAAACCCUACACAUGCUGCUGCUGCUGCUCGUCACGGCCGUUCGCGCGUCUGGCGGCGGCGGCGGCGAGCGGGGGUCCCUGCUCAGGUUCAAGGCGGCCGUGACCGCCGACCCGGGCGGGCUCCUCCGCGACUGGUCCCCGGCGUCGGCCGACCACUGCCUCUGGCCGGGCGUGUCCUGCGGCGCGUCCGGCGAGGUCGUGGCGCUCAACGUCUCCUCCUCCCCCGGCCGCCGCCUGGCGGGCGCGCUCUCCCCGUCCGUCGCGGCGCUGCGCGGCCUCCGCGUGCUCGCGCUCCCCUCCCACGCGCUCUCGGGCUCGCUCCCCGCCGCGAUCUGGUCGCUGCGCCGCCUCCUCGUGCUCGACCUCUCCGGCAACCGCCUCCAGGGCGAGAUCCCGCCGUCGCUCGCCUGCGCCGCGCUGCAGACGCUGGACCUCGCCUACAACCAGCUCAACGGCUCCGUGCCCGCCGCGCUCGGCUCGCUCUUGGUGCUGCGGCGCCUCUCGCUUGCAUCCAACCGCCUGGGCGGCGCCAUCCCGGACGAACUGGGCGGUGCCGGCUGCCGCAGCCUGCAGUUCCUCGAUCUCUCCGGGAACCUCCUCGUCGGCGGCAUCCCCCGGAGCUUGGGGAACUGCAGCAAGCUGGAGGCGCUCUUGCUCUCCUCCAACCUGCUGGAUGACGUCAUCCCGCCGGAGAUCGGACGCCUCAGCAAUUUGCGUGCUUUGGAUGUGUCGAGGAACAGUCUGAGCGGCCCUGUGCCAGCGGAGCUCGGUGGUUGUGUUGAAAUUUCAGUGCUAGUGCUGUCCAACCCUUAUGCGCUGGUUGGUGGUUUGAAUGCAUCGGAUGGUGAGGAUGUUGAGGACUUCAACUAUUUCGAGGGAGGGAUUCCGGAUGUUGUUGCUGCGUUGCCGAAGCUGAGGGUGUUAUGGGCGCCAAGGGCUACGCUGGAGGGGGAGUUGCCGGGGAACUGGACUUCUUGCCAUAGCUUGGAGAUGAUGAACUUGGGAGAGAAUCUAAUCUCUGGUGGAAUUCCUAAAGGGCUGUUGGACUGCAAGCAUCUUAAGUUCCUGAAUUUGAGCUCGAACAAGUUAACAGGUUCAGUUGACGCAUCACUUCCUGUGCCCUGCAUGGAUGUGUUUGAUGUCAGCGGAAACCGACUGUCUGGCUCGAUUCCAGUGUUUCUCUCAAAGGAUUGCCCUUCAUCUCAGCUCCCAUUUGAUGACCUGGUGUCAGAAUACUCUUCCUUCUUUGCAUAUCAGGCGAUGGCAGGCUUCUUUUCAUCGUCAGCAGUCAUGGCUAUGGAUUUGACGAGUUGCCAUAGUUUUGCCCAGAACAAUUUUACUGGAACAGUGACAUCCUUGCCGAUUGCUGCCGAGAAGCUGGGAAUGCAGGGGUCCUAUGCUUUCCUUGCUGAUGGGAAUAAUCUUGUUGGUGAGUUGCAACCUGGCCUAUUCAGUAAGUGCAACAGUUCAAGGGGUUUCAUGGUGGACGUUAGCAACAACCUGAUAACAGGAGGUAUUCCUAUAGAGAUUGGAUCAUUGUGCAGUUCUCUUGUUGUUCUUGGUGCUGCUGGUAACCGCCUUUCUGGUUUGAUACCACCAAGUAUUGGACAGUUGACUUAUCUUAUCAGCCUGGAUUUGAGUAGGAACCAGCUUCGUGGUGAAAUUCCGACUUCUGUCAAGAGCUUACCGCAUUUGGAGCUACUUUCUUUGGGUCAUAACCUUCUAAAUGGAACUAUUCCAAAUGAUAUUAAUCAGCUGCAGUCUCUGAAGGUUUUGGACCUGUCCUCAAACCUCCUCGCUGGAGAGAUCCCUCGUGCACUCGCUGACUUGACAAAUCUCACUGCCCUCCUCCUUGAUAAUAAUAAACUUACUGGGAAGAUACCAGCUGAAUUUGCCAAUGCGGCAUCUCUUACCAUGUUUAACGUGUCAUUCAACAAUUUGUCUGGUCCAGUGCCAACAAAUAGCAGUGCAGUUGGAUGUGACAGCAUUAUUGGAAAUCCUUUGCUACAAUCUUGUCACACGUAUACCCUGGCUGUUCCCUCCGCAGCUCAGCAGGGUCGUGAUCUGAAUUCAUACGACAACGAUACAGCGCCUGUGGAUCCACAAAACCAAGGAGGAAACAGUUCAUUCAAUGCAAUUGAAAUAGCUUCGAUAACAUCAGCAACAGCUAUUGUUUCAGUCCUUCUUGCUCUGAUUGUACUAUUUAUUUACACAAGAAAGUGCGCACCCUUUAUGUCAGCUCGAUCAUCUGGAAGAAGGGAAGUUAUAAUCUUCCAAGAAAUCGGAGUGCCGAUCACUUAUGAGACUGUUGUUCGAGCUACUGGAACUUUCAACGCAAGCAAUUGCAUUGGAAGUGGGGGUUUUGGAGCCACUUACAAAGCUGAAAUUUCACCUGGAGUCUUGGUAGCUAUAAAGAGGCUUUCUGUUGGGAGAUUGCAAGGAUGGGAACAGUUCCAUGCUGAGAUCAAAACUCUUGGGAGAUUAAGACAUCCCAAUCUUGUUACCUUGGUAGGCUACCAUCUUGGUGAAUCUGAAAUGUUUCUCAUAUAUAACUACUUGCCUGGAGGAAAUCUUGAGAGAUUCAUACAAGAGAGAUCAAAGAGACCAGUAGAGUGGAAGAGGCUGCACAAGAUUGCUCUGGACAUUGCAAAAGCACUCGCUUAUCUGCAUGACACCUGUGUUCCUAGGAUCCUUCAUCGUGACGUGAAACCAAACAAUAUUUUGUUGGACACUAACCAUAAUGCUUACCUCUCAGACUUUGGACUGGCAAGGCUCUUGGGAAAUUCGGAAACCCAUGCAACCACUGGUGUUGCGGGAACUUUUGGAUAUGUUGCUCCAGAAUAUGCUAUGACUUGCCGUGUUUCAGAUAAAGCCGAUGUUUAUAGCUAUGGUGUUGUACUGAUGGAGCUAAUAUCAGACAAGAAGGCCUUGGAUCCAUCAUUUUCUCCUUAUGGUAAUGGGUUUAACAUAGUUGCCUGGGCAUGCAUGCUGCUCAAGCAAGGCCGUGCUCGUGAUUUCUUCGUCGAUGGUUUGUGGGAUGUGGGCCCGCAUGAUGACUUGGUAGAGGUGUUGCAUUUAGCAGUGAUGUGCACCGUUGAAUCGCUCUCUAUACGACCAACUAUGAAGCUAGUUGUUCAACGACUAAAGCAACUCCAGCCUCCAAUACGUGAACACCGAUGA